rnacentral:rRNA from 1 species
GACGAACGCUGGCGGCGUGCUUAACACAUGCAAGUCGAACGGAAAACGACUGAUCUUGCUCGCUGCUGAUCAGUGGCAAACGGGUGAAUAACACGUGUACCAUCUCCUCCACACUCGGGUAUAAUCGUUAGAAACGACGUCUAAUACGAUAGGCGACGCGGCUGCACGUCGUGUCUUGGUGGAAUACAGCGGUUGGGGAUGGACUCGCGGCUUAUCAGCUUGUUGGUGGGGUAACGGCUUACCAAGGCUAUGACGGGUAGCCGGCCUGAGAGGGUGACCGGCCACACUGGGACUGAGACACGGCCCAGACUCCUACGGGAGGCAGCAGUGGGGAAUAUUGCACAAUGGGCGGAAGCCUGAUGCAGCAACGCCGCGUGCGGGAUGACGGCCUUCGGGUUGUAAACCUCUUUCGGCUGGGAAGAAGCGAAAGUGACGGUAAUUGGAAAAAAAGCACCGGCUAACUACGUG